AACGUAGGACGCAAGCGUUAUCCGGAAUUACUGGGCGUAAAGCGCGCGCAGGCGGGUCAGCAAGUCAUGCGUGAAAGCUCCUGGCUAAACUGGGAGAGGUCGGAUGAGACUGCUGGUCUGGAGUGUGUCAGAGGGAUGUGGAAUUCCGCGUGUAGUGGUGAAAUGCGUAGAGAUGCGGAGGAACACCAGUGGCGAAGGCGGCAUCCUGGGGCACAACUGACGCUGAGGCGCGAAAGCAUGGGUAGCGAACGGG
rnacentral:ncRNA from 2 species